GACAGAGGGGGCAAGCGUUGCUCGGAAUUACUGGGCUUAAAGGGCGCGUAGGCGGGUUCUCAAGUCCGGGGUGAAAUCCCACAGCUCAACUGUGGAACUGCCUCGGAUACUGGGGGUCUCGAGGGUGGUAGGGGUAUGCGGAACUAUCGGUGGAGCGGUGAAAUGCGUUGAUAUCGAUAGGAACUCCGGUGGCGAAGGCGGCAUACUGGACCACAUCUGACGCUGAGGCGCGAAAGCCAGGGGAGCAAACGGG
rnacentral:rRNA from 1 species